AUUGAACGCUGGCGGCAGGCCUAACACAUGCAAGUCGAGCGCGAAAGUCUUCGGAUGAGUAAAGCGGCGAACGGGUGAGUAAUGCAUGGGAAUCUGCCUGGUAGUGGGGGACAACGUCUCGAAAGGGACGCUAAUACCGCAUACGCCCUACGGGGAAAGGGGGGAGUCUUCGGACCUCUCGCUAUCAGAUGAGCCCAUGUCAGAUUAGCUAGUUGGUGAGGUAAAGGCUCACCAAGGCGACGAUCUGUAACUGGUCUGAGAGGAUGAUCAGUCACACUGGAACUGAGACACGGUCCAGACUCCUACGGGAGCAGCAGUGGGGAAUAUUGGACAAUGGGGGCAACCCUGAUCCAGCCAUGCCGCGUGUGUGAAGAAGGCCCUAGGGUUGUAAAGCACUUUCAGUGGGGAGAAA
rnacentral:rRNA from 1 species